ensembl:snRNA U5 U5 spliceosomal RNA
UAAUUCUUGCUUCGUUGCAGGCCUAAUAAAUCUUUCGCAUUUUACUAAACGUUUCCGUGGUGAGAAACAAUAUGAAUAUGUAAUAAUUUUGGAGGUCCUGGUAUUUUGUAGGGUU